AAAAUCCAAUCAAUCAGUUUAAACAAUCAGUUCAAGUUAAAAACUCUAAAAAUAUAGUUGACUACUGACUUCUGACUAUGACUUCCAUUACUCUGGAUGAAAAUUUGCUGAUGCCUUUUCAUCUAAUUGAAUUUCAAGCGAGCGAGGACAUCGCUGUUGUGCCAAUUGACUGGUAUGAUGACGGGAUGGUGUACUGGCCCAGCUUUAAGAGCACUGAGCGUGUGAAAAGGGCAGCUGCUAACGAGGAGAAGCAUGAGCCAAACUGGCCAAGAUAUGAUGUAAAGGUUGUCAGAACUUGUGACAACUACAAAAGACGCCAUUAGGGCUUAUGACUCAAUAUCAGAACGGCUGCAACACCUCUGAGCUACAGUCUGAGGCAGAGCAGGAGGGUAAGCUGCCAGAGAAAAGAUUCAGGAAGCCAGUCCAUCGUUUUGGGGACUCUGAUGAGAGUGAAGAAGAGCCAGAAAAUGGUGACUUUGCAUCUCUGAGGAUGCCACGACCUUCCAACUUGCCUGGUGUAUCAGUUGAAGCCUCAUGCCCAAGCCAAUUGCACUGGAAGACUCCAUCAUCUUGCCGAGUGCCAGGCAGCAGAGUAACUACUCCUCAACCUGGAGAAAACUGUCUAGCACCAGACUAUGGGGCAGGACAGCAUCACCCUUCACCACCUCAACUCCCAACACCCGCAUUUAACAUGCGGAGAGUUACUCAAGGAAUGGCAGUCCCUCCACAACUCCCUCCACCCCCCGCACCAGCCCUCAACAUGCGGCCAACAGAGGAAGCCUGUUCAAGCCUGACCUACAGACCAACAUGGCGAGGGGGAAGAAUGGCCGAUACCAUUCCCUGCUCUGCGGCUGAGGUCCACAUACUUAGCCUGCUGGAAACCAUUAAACAGCAACAAGACCAGCUUGUGGCAAAGGUGAACUACCUCAGCAGCAGGCUGAACAGCACCCCGGGGGCCAGAUGUUGA
ensembl:lncRNA